AGUCUGGUGCCAGCAGCCGCGGUAAUUCCAGCUCCAAUAGUGUAUAUUAAAGUUGCUGCAGUUAAAAAGCUCGUAGUUGGAUUUCGGAUUAAUGGGAGUUAAGGUCCAUCAAUUUGAUGUGUACCUUAUUCUCGUUUCCUUCCUUUUGAAUACACUCCCUGAAAUUUUUUUCUGGGGAUCAAAGUGUUUCAAAUCUUUUACUGUGAAGAAAUUAGAGUGUUCAAAGCAGGCGUAAUCUAGCCUUUGAAUAUAUUAGCAUGGGAUAAUGAAAUAGGACUUUAGUUCUACUUUCGUUGGUUUCUAGGGCUAAAGUAAUGAUUAAUAGGGAUAGUUGGGGUCACUAGUAUUUAAUUGUCAGAGGUGAAAUUCUAAGAUUUAUUAAAGACUAACUACUGCGAAAGCAUUUGACAAGGAUGUUUUCAUUAAUCAAGAACGAAAGUUGGGGGAUCGAAGAUGAUCAGAUACCGUCGUAGUCUCAACCAUAAACUAUGCCGACCAAGGAUCCGGGGGUGUUAAAUAUGGAUGACUCUCCGGGCACUUAUAGAGAAAUCAUAAGUAUUUGGGCUCCGGGGGGAGUAUGGUCGCAAGGCUGAAACUUAAAGGAAUUGACGGAAGGGCACCACAAGGAGUGGAACCUGCGGUUUAAUUUGACCCAACACGGGGAAACUUACCAGGUCCAGACACAGUGAGGAUUGACAGAUUGAGAGUUCUUUCUUGAUUCUGUGAGUGGUGGUGCAUGGCCGUUUCUAGUUGGUGGAGUGAUUUGUCUGGUUAAUUCCGUUAACGAACGAGACCUUAACCUAUUAAAUAGUUGCUUGAACACAUGAAUAUUUUAUUCUUUGUUCGGUUAACUUCUUAGAGGGACUCUUCACUGAGAGAGUGAAUGGAAGUUUGAGGCAAAAACAGGUCUGUGAUGCCCUUAGAUGUUCUGGGCCACACGCGCGUUACACUGACAUAUUCAACGAGCAUUUUCCUGGCCCGAUGGGGUUGGGUAAUCUUUUAGAUGUAUGUCGUGCUGGGGAUAGAUCAUUGUAAUUAUUGGUCUUGAACGAGGAAUUCCUAGUAAGUGCAAGUCAUCAACUUGCGCUGAUUACGUCCCUGCCCUUUGUACACACCGCCCGUCGCUCCUACCGAUUGAAUGGUCCGGCGAGAACUCAAGAUGGAAAUAGGUUUUGGACACCGUCA
rnacentral:rRNA from 1 species